CCAGUCCACAGAGCCUCUUUCCUUUCAGUGGUCCUAAUUUCUUGAGUUCUGCUUCACCUUUUCAGAGUUUGUGAAUGCAAAAUUUAUCAGUAAUGGAGUGAUAAAGGCCAUAUAAUGAUGCUUUCUCUUUAGUUUGUUGUCCUGAAUUUCAAAUCUUAGACUUUCCUCUUUUUUUUCAAGUGAUUAUGGUCACUCAGUAAAUUAUGCACAACAACUUAUUCCUGACCAAUAUUAGCAAAUUAAAACCUAUUAUGGAAUAUGCACCAUUUGGGAGUCUUUGCAGUUGUGCAAAAUUUGUGUUUGUUACUGUUGAAUUACAGGAGCCAACUUCUCAGCCCAUCACUAAGCAUCGUGUUGCCGGCUGGCUCUGUGCAACCUGGGUUGCAGCUCCAACAACUCCCAGCAGGAUGGGCCCACUCAGUCCCAACCUUGGAGAGAGUCCCAGUAAACGCCGACUGAGACGUGAGGAUGGGAAGGACAGAGAGGAUGAGUGACAUCACUAUUUCCAGUAAGAACAAACUGCUCUGUGAGCAGGUGUGGGCCUUACAGCUGGUGCUGCUGAGG
rnacentral:lncRNA from 1 species